AGCAAGCCUCGAUACGCGCUUUACGGAAACGCCCCCUCCAUUACUCGACACACGCCUCGAAGCCUCGGCACAACACGUAACAUCACUACCAUGAACACUGUUGUGUUCCACGGUGCACAGCGUCUUCUAAAUAUAACAGUCGUUUAAGUUUUUAUGGAUUUCCAAGCGAUCCUGACUUACAAAGACGAUGGCUUGUCAAUAUUCGUCGCGACAACUUCAAGCUAACAUCGCAUAGCAAAGUUUGCAGCCUUCACUUCCCUCCGGAUCAGUUUCAUCAGCCUAAAACUCCUGGCGGGAGAAGAAUGGUUAAAAAAAGGAGCCGUCCCUGUGUUAUUUCAAUGGAACAACUUCUGUGUUCAGCCUGGAAGAGCCAGUGUAUGGGAAAGAGUGAGCAGACCAGAGCCGGACAGCGGCGCAACUGAUCCGCCUGUGGAAUGCACGUAUGCAGAUCACGAUUAUUGCUCUGUCCCAGAACCAGCUGGCCUGGACAUGGUAAUAAAUGAAAACCAGAAAUUAAAAGAAGAAAUAAAAGCCCUAACAAGCCAGAUCGAAGAACUGAAAAUCCAUUCUACCUUCGGAUUACAAAGGUUCGCAGCGUCUGAUGAUGACAUCCGAUUUUACACGAGGAAGGCGGAGCCUUUCUCCAGAGCUGAUUGGACGAGAGGCCUGGCCCACCCUGGACAGAUCACCAGGACAACAAAGGACAACACAAAAACAACCAGGGCAAACAUCCAUGCACAAACACACUCUUUGUAACAUGCAUGGGGAGAACAUGCAGCUCCAUGCAGAAAAACAUUCAGGACUGCCCCCCUCCAUUUAUGGUAUUUCAAAGUAAAACAUUAAUAAAAAGACAAAACAUACCAGGUAUCUUCUUCCACAUUUGAUUUUAUUAUAUGAAGUGUUUGAUUUUUUGUGUUUUACUGUUGUGUAUAGAACCAAAGACGCAACGUUUCUGUGG